UACAGAGGUGGCAAGCGUUGUUCGGAAUUACUGGGCGUAAAGGGCGCGUAGGCGGCCAUCUAAGUCAGACGUGAAAUCCCCCGGCUUAACCUGGGAACUGCGUCUGAUACUGGGAGACUUGAGUUCGGGAGAGGUGAGUGGAACUGCGAGUGUAGAGGUGAAAUUCGUAGAUAUUCGCAAGAACACCAGUGGCGAAGGCGGCUCACUGGCCCGAUACUGACGCUGAGGUGCGAAAGCGUGGGGAGCAAACAGG
rnacentral:rRNA from 1 species